rnacentral:rRNA from 1 species
UACGUAGGGCGCAAGCGUUAUCCGGAAUUAUUGGGCGUAAAGAGCUCGUAGGCGGUCUGUCACGUCGGUCGUGAAAACUUGGGGCUUAACCCUGAGCUUGCGGUCGAUACGGGCAUGACUUGAGUUCGGCAGGGGAGACUGGAAUUCCUGGUGUAGCGGUGAAAUGCGCAGAUAUCAGGAGGAACACCAGCGGCGAAGGCGGCGCUCUGGGCCGGUACUGACACUGAGGAGCGAAAGCGUGGGUAGCAAACAGG